rnacentral:lncRNA from 1 species
CUCCCAAUGCUAGAUUACAGGCAUGUGCCACCAGUAGUUUUCUUUAAAUCAACAGAAUAAUAAAUUUGGUCAUGCUUCCAGCCCACCCACACAGGUAGACACAGCUUAGUUCAGUCUCCACAUAGAGAAGACUCCUAUAUACGAAAAAUGUAAAGACGAGGCAUUCCUCCGCUUGCUUUCUGAGGACACCCUACCCUGUAUUUGAGUAGCCGUCAAUAAACCUUCCCUCCCCACUGAACUCUGUGACUUGCCUGGAAUUCCCUCCUGCACGAGAUCCAAGAACUUUCUCUUAGGGUCUGGAUUGGGACCUCUUUUUUUUUUGGCAACACAAGGACAUGCCAAUUGUAACUUUAGGUCUACAAACUAAGUCUAGUUCUUAAUUUCUUUUUUUUUUUUUUUUGAGACUAACUCUCAUUCUGUCACCCAGGCUGGAAUGCAGUGAUGCGAUCUCGGCUCACUGCAACCUCUGCCCCCUGGGUUCAUGCGAUUCUCCUGCCUCAGCCUUCCAAGUAGCUGAGAUUACAGGUGCAUGCCACCAUGCCUGGCUAAUUUUUUUUUUUUUUUUUUUUUUGAGAAGGAAUUUCAUUCUUAUUGCCUGGGCUGGAGUGCAAUGGCGUGAUCUCAGCUCACUGCAACCUCCGCCUCCUGGGUUCAAGCGAUUAUCCUGUCUCAGCCUCCUGAGUAGCUUGGACAGGCAUGCGCCACCACACCCAGCUAAUUGUUGUAUUUUUAGUAGAGAUAGGGUUUCACCAUGUUGGUCAGGCUGGUCUCGAACUCCUGACCUUAGGUGAUCCACUUGCCUUGACCUCCCAAAGUGCUGGGAUUACAGGCAUGAGCCAUUGUACCCGGCCUUAAUUUUUGUAUUUUUAGUAGAGAUGGAGUUUCACCAUUUCAUCCAGGCUGGUCUCGAGUUCCUGACCCCAAGUGAUCUGCCCGCCUUGGCCUCCCAAAGUGCUGGGAUUACAGGCGUGAGCCACCGUGCCCAGCCUAGCUCCUAAAAUUAAAGUUGAUUCCAUGCUGAUAAUGUUGAUCGCAAGCUUAGAUAGAAGUGCAGGUGCAGAAUAAAGACAAGACUCAUUCCUAUACCUACCCAGAGACAUCUGCAUACUUGACUCUUCCUUUACUCUCUUUUUAUUUUCAAACAUCCAAUUUGUCUUAUGUAAAAUGUAGAUUUACCAGGCAGCAGCUAGAGUCUCACAGGAAUGUAGCCAUUCGCCUUACCACCUGUCUGCCCUUUUUCCUAAAAGCCUUUCCCCCAUUUAAGGAAAUGUGUAAAUACUAAAUCCCCUGAAACUCUCUUGAGAAAAACAGCCACAGAUGUACCUGUGGCUUGUAUUUUUCCCGGAAGCACCCUCAAGCUGACUUAAUAAACCUCGAUGAUUGAGAUUUAUGCCUUGGUCAUUCUAUUCAGAUGUCAGAAGGACCCAUGGGAAGACUCAGAGAGAAAGGUCUGUAGGAAGAGGCUAAGGAGCCCAAUCUUCUCCCAGAAAAUGGACGCUUCGGGUGGUCAUGAAUUGUAGGGCUAUUGGUACUGGGGUGAGUAAAGAGGAAGAGAAAGAGAGCAAGGCCCCAAGGAGAAGGGGAAACAGGGAGGGAGGAAGGGGCCAUGCCCUGUCCUCCCCUCCUCCAGUGUCCCUGCCCCUCUCCAACUUCAGAAUUCCCAUUGCUCCUUGAGAACUCAGACACUAGCUUCCCCACCAAGGCCUCCUCCCUCUGCAUUCCCCCAGCCUGUCCAUUCUCGGUCACACUGACUCCGAGUCUGGUCAGCUGCCUGUAUGCCUGUCUCACCCAGUUAACUUAAAUUCCUUGGGGUCAGGAACAAUGCUUUCUUCUUAUUUUCCAUGCCACAGCUCCAGUUACUGUGACUGACACACAGAAAUAUUGGCUUGGAGUCGAUUAUCUCAGGGAUGCAGCUCAAAGUAAAUGUGUCUUGUAUAGAGUGGGCAUAGGGAUGCUUUAAUGAGGAACGAGCAAGUCCCAAGAGGAGCAAGGAAAACUUGAGCUGCAACCACUUUGCAUUUCAGAUGAUGAAUUAGAGCGGUUGUUAUCGAAUCUGCCACCAGAGGGCGAUCCAGGCUGAAGGUGACAUUACACUUAGAGGGAUCCACAGAUUCAAGAGGCUGCUUGGGGAGGGCAGCACAGUGAAGUACAAGGACUUUGACAUCAGAGAGGCCUGGAUUCAAGUCCCAAUUUCUAUCUCUCUCUCUGCGGAAGCCAGCCACCGCUCUCCAAGGACUCUCGAGCAGCUCCAUCUACAGAUUCACAUGGAGAAGAAUUAAGGGUUCCUGCCAAUCACCAGCACCACUUUGCCAGCCUUGUAAGUGGGCCACCUUGGAAUUGGAGCCUCCAGUUCCUACUGACAUCUGACUGCAACAUCAUGAGAGACCCUGAGUUUGAACCACCCAGCUGAGCUGCUUCUGAGCUAACCCACUGAAACCGUGAAAGUACCUGAAUGAAACAACACCCAGUAGCCACUAGCACACCUAGCUCCCAGAUCUGUUUUUGAUGCCAUUCUUCAGUAAAAGGAAGCAAGGCUGCUUGGAGAAAUUGCUAUCAAGGACUGGGGUAGAAAAUAUACAAGAUGAAAUUGGAGCAUCUUGUAGUGCUUGAAAACAGUUGGCAUCUGUGUGAAGAUGUGAAUGGAGGAGGCAGAGUAGGCAGUGAGUGCCGCAGCCACAGCUUGUGUUCUCUGCAGCCCUGGCACAGAAGAUAGGAACACUCAUGGGGGAUGCGGCCACUGUGAUGUCUUCCCACACAAGAAGUGCCAAGUGCUUUUCUCAUGCUUUUCUGGAUUGUCCCAUGGUGGACGAGUCAGCAGGAGUGAGAUGGAGCAGCACAGUAGAGGGGCCAGGAUAUCGUUGUACAUAUUCUCAGCUAAGUGAGCACCAAUAGAGGAGAGGGAGAGUCUCAUGGAAGUUCCUUCUAAGCCUUUGGCUCUUUUUACCUUCAACAAGGUGUGCCACCUCUUUGAUCCAGCAAGUGGGAAGAACAGUCCCGGCCUCUUUGCACACAAGACCGUGAUACCAAUGCACCAUCACAGGCCCCACAGGGGAGCUGUCCGCUUCCCCACACAGCUGCUAGGGGCUCUUUUGCAUGUUCCCAACCUUUCCUGCCUUUAUCUGAUAUUCGUUCCUUAGAUCCUGGGAUGAGGAGGUGGACCAGCAGAAGGUGGGCUUGUGAAGGCAGCCCGGGGUCCAAAUCCUCCUGGCUCUUCAGCUUAGCGGGUUAGUUAACAUUCAGAAGCCUUCAUCUCCCAUCUGCAAAAUGGGCAUGUCCAACUCAGAAGCUGCCUUGAAGAAAGGGUCUACCCAGCAUGGUGCGUGGAGCCUAAGCAGUCAGUACUUCAGGACUUCACCCGGCCCCUUUCCAAUAACUGCUGCUGUCGCCCUCACAGGAUGUCACCUUCAGCGUCUGAAAGCUGGGUUUGAUGCGUCUGGAAAGGCGUCCCUGACAGGCGUCGUUGCCAGGAGCCCCUAGUGCCACCAGCAGCCAGCAGGGGAGGGCGUCCUCUGCCCGCUCACUUCUGACCCUUCUCUCGUUGCACCCGGAACAUGGUGCAGCUGGGAGCAGCCUGGGCUGCGCGGAAGGCUCAGAUUUGGGGACGGCCCUUGCCAGUGACUGUGAGCUGGGGUGUCUUGGAAACUCCCAGUCUCAGCUUCUCCAUUUAUAAGAUGAGAAUGAUCAUACCAGACUCAGGCAAGGUUGUUUGUGCAUUAGUGAAAUCAGACGUAUUAAAUAAAGUACCACAUUGAUCGUGGAGUUGUUGAAUAACCAAGAACACGCCUAUCUGUC